GGUUUAAUGGCCCUUGAAAAAGUGCGUCCCUGCAGGGAGGGUUGUGACGGGCUGGAUUUCUGGGAGUAACACAGACUGAAUAAGGCUGCCCUUGGCUCAAUGUCCACCCUUGGCAAAAACCAACAGAGGAAAGCGAUCUGCCCUCCAUUAGGGUGAUGUGGAAAUCCUUGAGUGGAGAAGAAGGAGCUGUGGAAAGUGGGCGGUACCCUGGAAUUGCGAGAUUGAGACCAGGAGAAACCAUGCAUGAGUGUUUGGGACUGUGCAGAAGAUUUCUCAUGACUUAGAACAUGCUGGAGUCAGAGGAAGCCUCAGCCCCUUGUCCUGUCUGAUGUCAUUGUCUUAAAGAAGAAAAAGAAAAAUCAAGCCCAAAGCCAUGUAGGCAGCAUAGGGCAAAGUUGUAAAAAAAAUGAAGAGGAAAGAGAAGAUGAAG
rnacentral:lncRNA from 1 species